CAAACUUAUCAUACUCAUUAAUGUGUCAAAAAGUGAUAAUACGAUGAAAUUUAAAAUAAGACCUACCGUAAUGAUAGAUAGGAUAUGUACAACUCAUGUAAAGGGUUUGUCUAGUAGAAGUUUGGAUUGGCCCAUGAGGAGCUUACCCCUAAAAACACAUGUUCAAAAAUCUCAUUGUCAGUAAUUAAUCUUGAGCCAAGUUCAUUUGGAACUCUGCUCUAAUUUUAAUUAGAUCCUUAUUAUUGGACGGUGGGAUUGAUCAUCUGAAUUUGUCGGUCCUUAGGGUCGAAUAGUGAGUUAUUAAAAAUAAAAAGAAAGAUUUGUACAUUUUAUUUGUUGUAAAUCAUUAAAUGAAAAAAAAACAUUUAAAAAUAAAAAUAAAUGCGAACCUACACAAUAAAAGAUGUGACCCCAUUUUUCAUCAUUAUCCCCGUCUCUUUUUCAUCAUUACCAUUUUUUUAGUAUUAAUUCCAUCAACGAAAAAGAAAAAAAUAAACUUGAAUUCAAAGUCAGGUAUAUAUAUUCCACAUAACUGCUGUGUAUAUUUCCUAUUAUGACCUCACUCUGUCACCACAAAGCUGUAACCCCACCGCCAUACUUAGCACAUAUAUAUAAAGCACUCCUCCAAGACUUUUAGCAUACCAUAUUCAACCUCCAUCUGAGAGAGUGGAUAUUCAUUGAGAGAGAGAGAGAGAGAGAGAGAGAGAAAAUGGGAACCCUAGAAGAGGAGAAGCUCUUUCAGAUAGUCCAUGAUUUUAUUGAAUAUGCAGAAUCACCACCACCCAUCUCUACGAGCCCUAAUCACCAUGCCAAAUGUUACCUAUUACAGGUUCCAAUUUAUUGCUUACCAAAUUUCAAUUCUCUUUCUUUCUUUCUUUCUUUCUUUUUUAAUUUUUCAUUUUAUUUAUUUAUUUAUUUGUGUUUUAUUGUUUAGGAGAUUCUUGGAAGUAGUACAGAUGCUGAGGCUGAGGUUAGUGAGAGUGUGCUGAAGCAUAUGAGAAAUAAAAUGGAUUCAAAGAAGACCAAGUGGCUAGUUAUGAUGCUAAAAAAGGAUGGUUAUAAUGCUUCUCUAUGCCAAACCUCUUGGCCUACUACUUUGGGAUGUCCAAGUGGUGAGUCUCUCUCUCUCUCUCUCUCACACACAUGCAACUUAUCAAAAUUAUCGUAACUUCUGUUUCAAUUUAUUUAUCCAUCUUCUUCUUUCUUUCAUGUAUCAAAAUAUUUGUCAACUUUAAAUAGUCAACUAUCAAAAUAGGAUAGAUUUUACAUCUAUUUUUUCAAUUUUAUAUAAUUUCAAAUUGUUAAGGAUAAUUUUGAUAAGUUGAAAGAUGAGAUAAAAAGUUUGAUUCCAAAAUGUAUAAAAAGAUUCAUUCAAAAUUACAAUAUUUUUGCAUAAAAAAAUCUAUCUAUAUCUAUAUCUAUUUAUGGGUUGGUUCUCCAGGUGAUUAUGAGUACCUGGAUAUUGUGAUGGAAGAUGAGAAUGGCACUUCGCAAAGGCUAAUCGUGGACAUAGAUUUCAAGUCCCAAUUUGAAUUAGCAAGGCCCACCACAACCUACAAAGAUCUCACCGCCACACUUCCACCCGUGUUUGUGGGUGAUGAGC
rnacentral:lncRNA from 1 species